CUCUCGGCCGCAGCAAGUCCCUCCAAGUUCCCUCCCUCGCUCUCCAGCGGAGCCUGCCUGAGCCCUCCCACUCGGUGCAGAGCGAACCGCCGCGGCCGCCGCCAGCUGGGCCCUCCGCGGCCGCGCGUCCUGGGCCGGCUUGGCCAACCCCGUCCGCUCCCUGCGCGCAGCCCCGCGGUGGCGUUGGCGGCGCGGUGAGGACUCUGCGGCCCCUACUGCCCGCGGUCGGUGCUCAGUCCUCGUUGGGCCCCGACUCUUCCCACCUCGCCAUUCCUGGAAGCCUGGCCGCCGGCUCGGCCCGCGUCGCCCUGAGCCGGGGAGCACGGCUGAGGAGUUCCAAAAGCAGACGUGCAGAACACUGCUCCUCUUUUUACAUCUUGGAUUACAAACUGAGAAGACUCCAUAAAGCUAAAAGGGAAAUAACAAGGUGCGCUGGGCCUGUUGAGAGCCAUUCCUGGUUAAAUGAAGCGUCCUUUUGUAAGUAGAACCCUCUCUUUAGCCAUCAAGAGUCACACAUGGGA